CAUUUCGGCUAAAGAUUUCACGAAAAGUAUUUUUAAAAAAAUAUAUAUCAGUUUUAUAAAAAAGAUUCAACAGUUAAAUCAAAAAUUAAUUUACAAUUUUUUUACUUGCUGUAUAAAAUCUAAACGUACAGAAUGUCAUCAAAGCAACAUACACACCAACAAAGUCAAUAUAAAAAAGAUUCAACAGUUAAAUCAAAAAUUAAUUUAAAAUUUUUUACUUGCUGUAUAAAAUCUAAACGUACAGAAUGUCAUCAAAGCAACAUACACACCAACAAAGUCAAUUCAUUAUGUUAACAUAGGCUUUUCUUAGCAAUCAAUACCACUUUUGAAAUUAGUAGUUUAUUCUGCGCGAUUGAAGGGGGUACAAACAAUACGCGUCUAAAGCCCGUUGAAAAGCGGGGUAAGUUGGCAACUUGGUAGAACGAGGCUUUAGCUUACAAGUAUGUUUCACCAGUUAGCCAACCUUGGAUUAUGAGCGAUAAAAUAACUAUGAUACUCAGCCCGAUCGAUGGGGAUACAACCCAUACGCAGGUAGAACCAGGAAUAGAAUGUCCUCUUUUUCGGUGCUUUUAAAGAAAAACUAAAAUAAUUCAACAAAUAUUCAAGUUGCUAAAACUUACCGAGAAUGCGAGGGAACAUGUUAAUUCUAAGCUUGUAAUACAGUGCGAAAAACUAUCGUUCCCAAACAUUUGCGAUAAUGAUUAAAUUGUUAAACCAAUAAAAUUUCGAUUACCAGUUUUUUAAAAUGACACCAAUAUUAGUAAAUAGUUCUUACUUACAAUAACAAUAAUUGAAAUAAGUUAGGUUUGGUAAAUUUUUUUUUAAGCGAUAGAUAGUAACCCAAUUAAACGUAAACAGCAUUAUAACUCUACCAUGUUACAUGCCGUGACAGCUUCUAGCGAUUUGUGGGAGUUAAAGUGGCAGAGGCCACAAUUUAAAAUAAACAAACCUUUAAUCUUCAUGUCAAAUCUUGCUUGUUUUGACUCAAUAUAUCGAAGGAGGAGGAGAGGGUUCUAGACCCAGACAAUGAUAUCUAAGGGAAAUUGACCCUACUAGAUCAGUCGGGAGUCCAACUUACCUUUGAUGGAUGAAAUGGUGGCCACCACCUCCU